rnacentral:rRNA from 1 species
CAGGAUUAGAGACCCUGGUAGUCCUAGCUGUAAACGCUGGGUGCUAGGUGUGGGACGUAGAAGUUCCGUGCCGGAGCAAACGCGAUAAGCACCCCGCCUGGGAAUAACGGUCGCAAGGCUAAAACUCAAACGAAUUGACGGGGCCCCGCACAAGCAGCGGAGCGUGUGGUUCAAUUCGAUGCUACACGAAGAACCUUACCUGGGUUUGACAUGUACGUGGUACGAAGGCGAAAGCAUAAGGACCCUUCGGGGAGCGUACACAGGUGCUGCAUGGCUGUCGUCAGCUCGUGCCGUGAGGUGUCGGGUUAAGUCCCGUAACGAGCGCAACCCUUGCCCUUAGUUACAAGUGUCUAAGGGGACUGCCGGCGGGAAGCCGGAGGAAGGUGGGGAUGACGUCAAGUCAGCAUGGCCCUUAUGUCCAGGGCUACACACACGCUACAAUGGUCAGUACAAAGGGUAGCGAAGUCGCGAGGCGGAGCGAAUCUCAACAAAGCUGAUCGUAGUUCGGAUUGCAGGCUGCAACCCGCCUGCAUGAAGCUGGAGUUUGCUAGUAACCGCGCGUCAGCCAUAGUGCGGUGAAUACGUACCCGGGGCUUGUACACACCGCCCGUCACGUCAUGGGAGUCGGUAACGCCUGAGCCGGUGUCUGCCCGCAAGGGGGACGCUGUCGAAGG